GACGAACGCUGGCGGCGUGCCUAAUACAUGCAAGUUGAGCGCUGAAGGUUGGUACUUGUACCAACUGGAUGAGCAGCGAACGGGUGAGUAACGCGUGGGGAAUCUGCCUUUGAGCGGGGGACAACAUUUGGAAACGAAUGCUAAUACCGCAUAAAAACUUUAAACACAAGUUUUAAGUUUGAAAGAUGCAAUUGCAUCACUCAAAGAUGAUCCCGCGUUGUAUUAGCUAGUUGGUGAGGUAAAGGCUCACCAAGGCGAUGAUACAUAGCCGACCUGAGAGGGUGAUCGGCCACAUUGGGACUGAGACACGGCCCAAACUCCUACGGGAGGCAGCAGUAGGGAAUCUUCGGCAAUGGACGAAAGUCUGACCGAGCAACGCCGCGUGAGUGAAGAAGGUUUUCGGGUCGUAAAACUCUGUUGGUAGAGAAGAACGUUGGUGAGAGUGGAAAGCUCAUCAAGUGACGGUAACUACCCAGAAAGGGACGGCUAACUACGUG
rnacentral:rRNA from 1 species